GGGGGGGAAAAAUCUCCUGGGGGAUUAAUACUUUCCGGGAGUGACGGUACCCCCAGAGGAAGCACCGGCUAACUCCGUGCCAGCAGCCGCGGUAAUACGGAGGGUGCAAGCGUUAUUCGGAAUUACUGGGCGUAAAGCGCGUGCAGGCGGGCUGACAAGUCUGAUGUGAAAGCCCUGGGCUUAACCUGGGAAGUGCAUUGGAAACUGCUAGUCUUGAAUGCUGGAGAGGAAGGGGGAAUUCCCGGUGUAGAGGUGAAAUUCGUAAAUAUCGGGAAGAAUACCCGUGGCGAACGCCCCCUUCUGGACUGUAACUGACGCUGAGACACGAAAGCGUGGGGAGCAAACAGGAUUAUAUUCCCUGGUAGUCCACGCUGUAUACAAUAAAAACUAUGUGUAGAGGGGUACUCAAUUUCUGUCUGUGUCCCAACAUCAAAAACGUUUAAU
rnacentral:rRNA from 1 species